GGAGGAUUACCCAAGUCCGGCUGAAGGGAACGGUCUUGAAAACCGUCAGGCGGGUUCUGCCCGCGCGUGGGUCCGAAUCCCACAUCCUCCUUAA
rnacentral:tRNA from 1 species